rnacentral:lncRNA from 1 species
AUGUGUUUCUGUUCUAGGGGUGUGAGCACAUUGCCAAACAAGAGUGCUGGUUUCCUAAAUACAGCUAUCCUUCACAUACCAUUGACUAUCCAGUCUCAUAAAGUCACCUGUGGAUCAAGAGCAUGCAAAGAAUUGGUCAUGGUUACUUGCAUUUAGUGUCAUAACCAGACUGCAGCUGAGCCAGUACACUACCAUCCCUUGGAACUCCACGACUGCAGUGCCCUCCUGCCGACUUCCGGGUUUCCGACUGCUGGACACUGCAUCUACCAAGCAAUGGGGGGAAAGAGAUGAAGCACCCGCUCCUGAAUCCCCAGCCAAUGACUGGUGAGCCAAUGACUUGAUGUAUAAACGUUCCAGCUCUCCUGCCCUCGGGGUGCCGUAACUCUCCGAGUGCGUUUUGCAGGCUGUGUCA